UCUAAUGAAUAAUAGAGAACAUUGAUUUAAACUGCUGUUUUUGUGCCAGCAGUUUGGAAACCUAGGGAGCUGCGCCUCUGCCCAGGAAGUCAUAGCAAAGGCCUUUUGAUGUUGAGGGGCACCCUGCCUGAAAGCCUACAGAAUCAUUAAUUAAAAGCCUCCAGCUUCUCUCCUAUAUUGCAAUUCCAUAGCUCUUACAGAGUCAUUGCUGCCUCUCUCCUUUUGCCUGAGGAUGUCAGAAGCAUGUUAAGAAGGAUAAACACCCACUGAUUUAUUUACAUUAAAUAAUACCCUGCUCACUCCCAGCAGCCAAUAAAAUCAGUGGGCUUUGGAAACCAGUCACAUGACAGCACCCUAGCAACUCCUUUCUGAAGUAGGGUUCAUGGCUGGAAAAAUAAGUACAGAAGAGCAGCCAACACACAUUCUUUUAUGAGACCUGCCACUGAAUCAACCCUGGGUACUCUGGGGGAGGGUUCAUGACAGUGGGAACUUUAUUUAACCUUUCUAUUAAUGUUUCUAUUGGCCUGUGUUAUCUCUUGCAAUGUCAAGUGCACGGUUAAUUAACCCUUUCUUGGCCUAUGCCACCUCUCUUUUCAGAUUGUAAGCUCCUUAAAUGCUAGAUUGGAGUUACUCAUUCAUUCAUUUACAGCCCAGAUAUUUAAUGCCCACCUGCUACAGGUGUGAGCUUUUGCUAAGCCCUGGGCGGUGCAAAGAAGAGGAAGACAUACUCCUUGCUUCUGGGACACUCACAAUCUUCUAGAAGUCUCUUCCCAGUCUGAUGAUCUUAUUCAGAACUGGGUCUUCCAAGGUUAUUGGCACAAAAAUCACUCAGGAAGUCACUGAACAAACCCUGGUUGAUUGAGAAGGGGUUCAGGCUGUGAACCCAGAAUGGUGUCAUGAGACUACAGUGUGCCGUACAUUUUUGCUGAUGAGCUCUGAGUAAAUUACCAGACAAUUUCUCCAGACCUCUUGGAUAUUUAGAAAUUUAAUUCCUUCCUUUCUUAGAUCCUUUCUGGAUCUGGGAAUGGAAUUUCUUUUAGGGUUGAGGACAGUUAUUCUGGCCCCACAAUAACUUGGGCUACACAUUCUUUAGGAAGUAGGCUUGCUUUUCAUAUGGACAAAAAAAAUUUUCACCAACAAAGGGGCACAGGAAAGGGGAGGAAGUCAAGGAAAGCAACAUUUCCUGAGUGCCCACUCAUGGCUUCCCCUCAUUUAGUGAACUACCACCCCAGGAAAACAGCAACACUCAUGUGCAAAGAGAUGUGCAUUUAGGUUUGGGUCUAGGGGUCAGUGGGUGAUAUAUCACCACACACACACACACACACUCAUACACACAUGUGUAUAUAAUUAUGCUGUAUUUAUAAUUUAAAAUUAAAUGACUUAUAAACUACUCUGCUAUGAGCCUAAAGAAUUAGAAGCCACGAUCUAUGCCCUCGAGAGUGCAAGAAAGAGAGAGAGAGAGAGAGAGAGAGAGAGAGAGAGAGAGAGAGAAACAGAAUAAGAAACACAUUCAAAGUUAAAUAGCCACAUGAAAAUUAUGUAACAGUACAGAGAGGAUUUUAGAGCUGGCUGGAUUCACAGCAAACAUUUAAACCAGAGUUUCCUAAAAUAGGGUGUAAACAUCAUUGAUGGCAUGAAAGAUGAUUUGAAUAUAAACAGCUUAAAAUUUCAUUAGGCAUUUAUUUUAACAUGCAUUAGAAAAAUCUAGACCUAGCAUAUCAAGCCCUUGUGUACAUGAAUAUUACUGCUUACUUUGAGGUUACCAAAAAGAUUUAAAGAUUAUCUAAAGGAAAGUAUUAAGUAAGUAGCUGUAUAGAAGAUGUGGAACAGGGACAUGGCAAAGAGUCUGCAAGUGUCAUUCGAAUGGCCUGAGUCUGGGAGAGGCAGACCAAAUUCAAUCUCUGGGAUGAAGAGAGGUUCAGCUAGUUGCUCAAGGUCACGGAGCUAGUGGAGAUCAUAGACCAGAAAGUGGUCAUCUGACUGAUCCUCUGCUCCCACAUCCUCCUUCACUCACUACUUCCUAUUUUGCAGAUGAGGAAAUUGUAAUCUGAAUAACAAGUUGCCUCUUUUGAAUAUGACUAUCACAAAAAUCUGACUGCAAAGUAGAAAGCAUUGAAUUGGCUUCAUGAAAAAUGAACUUUAAUAUUUAUAGAGUGCUUACUAUGCAUGCCAGUAUUACAAAGAUUUCAUACAUAAUAAUUUAUGGUAAUCCCCACACCAUUCUGUGGGAUGCACUUAGAUUAUUUCUACCAUCUCUCUUGUCAUAUGAGCAAAACAAGGAACAAAGAUCAAGUAGCUUUCUUAGGUCACUAUUUGCAUAGAUGGGAUUUGAACCCAGGUAGUCCAGCUCCAGAAUUUGUCCACUCAACCAUGACCACAUUCCUCACCAAUAAGUGAAGAGGUGAAAGGGCAACUUGUUUACCUGGUGGCAUUGCAAAAACUCUGUUCAGACAAUAUGGUACGUUCCUGUCCCCUCCUGCCUUGAAUUUUCCAACGGGUGCCUUGCUCCACUCUAUGGAACGUGUGGGUUUUCCACACCAUCACUUUUCAAUGUGCAGAGAUUCUUGAGAGGAAUCCCUGAGCGCCAAGAGCAAUCCUUUUAUAAAGACAAUCUGUGAGUUUACUAUGAUGAGAACUAUAAAGAAACAGUCCCACCUCCAAGGUUGAGAGGCAAAGUAUCCAUAGGUGGUGACUGGACGGAGAGGUAGUUGGGGGACAUGGUGGGGCUGAGAGUGACAGGAGAGGAGGCUCAGGGAGGACUAGCCCAGUGCUCCACAGGAGGCCACCAGGUGUUGAGAAAGCCCUGCUGGGUGCCUAGCACUUGGCACGGCACCUGGUAUGGAGCAGGUGCUCAGAGCUAUGUGGAGCGCAUGGGAGCCUGGGUGCAAACAGAGCCCAGCAGGGAGGCGGGCAGCAGGGCAGAGACUGGAGGUGAGAGAGCACCGAACACACUUGACCUACUUUAUAACUUCGCUCCAGGUAAGCCCUAGGAGGACAGCACAGUGCCAAAUUUCCAGUCAACAGACAAAAGACCUUUGCCCAAACCACAGACAGCAUUCCUGCUGUGGCUGGAACUUUGAGGAAGUCCGCUUUGUGUUGGUUACCCUUCAAAGGAGCCCCUGUUCAGGCUUCUGGCCCACUCUGCCUUAGCGUGACAGUCUCCGUUCUUCCUCCCUGCAGGGUACUUCAGGGUAGGCCACGGCCAUCUGGGACCUGUCACCAGCCUCCUCUGCACUGGUGCCACAAGAGGAUCAGCCUGUGGCACUUCUGUCUAUCUCUCCAGCAGGUGCUGACAGCCAAGCCAUUCCACACACCUUUGGGACAAAGCACUGCCCAGCAGCCAGGGCCAAGUUCAGAGCCUGAACAUUCUUUCACAGGCUCGGCGGAGAACCUGGGGGGCCUGAUGGCACAUUAUAUAAGCUGCACGUUGGGGACAAACCACUGAUGGGCAGACCCUGGUGCUCCUGGAAUUGCGUAAGCUGCUACCCUCCUGUUGGUCAUUGUUCAUGCAUGUCCCUGGGUUCCCUCAUUUGGCACGAGGCUGAAACCAUCAUGGUCCACUUCUGGAAUGCAUUUUCUGUUUCUCACCUGCAUGGUGAGUGCCUUCAGACAAGGACUGAGCUUUGUACUUCUCUGCUUCAACAUCGGCUAGAACAGAUUUUACAUACUGAGCCUCCAUUGCUGUUCGUCCAUCAUGUGACCCAUCCUACAGUUUCCCCACAAACUCCAAGCGCCUCCUUACCACAUGCAAGGACUUGGUGGUGGUUCUCAAGAAAUUGCCAUUCUAGUUGGUAAGGGAAGCAGACAGAAAGAGCUGAGAUGAGCUGGUGACACCUUCUGCUCCUGCACCAUGAGAUCCUGUUCUCUUCUAUCCUCUCUGCCCCAGUCUGUUUGAUAUUGAAAUGGAAAGAUGGUGAGAAUAGAAGCUGGUAGACUGGCAGUCAAGACUUGACAUGAAACAUCUUCAGCAGUCAUUUGAUAAGUGUUUGCACUGUGAAGUGUUCUAGCAACCUCAUAACUCACACUGGCAACUCCUAUAAACACCCUCUCUUCUGUUUUCCUUCACUCUGCAACUUCUCAUUCCACCAUUGAUGGAUUAACUCAGUUUAGUGUUUAUCAGAUGGACUCAGUGCCAUUCUUAUAGAGACCAAGUCAAAAAGAACAAACAAUUAUUUAUCAAAUGAAUGCCAUUUAAAAGUAUUGUGCUGGUCAUAGUAUUAGGCAUAAAGAAGAAAUAAGCUGUCACUUUUGCUCAUCC